GAAGAGCGCGAAGGACGGAGGCGAACAGCAGCCAGUUUUAUCACCAUCAGCCACGCAGGUUCUGCCAAUCAGCGCCGCGCAGGGGAUCGGCUGUCACUCACGCAGACUGACAGGGAGCUGCGCGGGGUUGACUUGGCAGCAGCUGGAGGCUCGCGAUGGCUUUUGAAAGACUAUGUUCGCCCCUCGUCUGGACUACUGUCUGUUUGGACUAUCUGUUUAACUCGCCCCCUGGAUUAUGUUAGCCGUUGAUUGACCUAUGACUGUUCACUGGACUGCUCUUGUGUCUUGCCCUCAAUAUACUGGUUUGCCAGUGUUCAACCCCGCCUGAGGAGGACCAUGUCUAUGAAUAAAGCUUUGCGUAUGGAUCCCCA